rnacentral:rRNA from 1 species
GAUGAACGCUGGCGGCGUGCCUAAUACAUGCAAGUCGAGCGAACAGACGAGGAGCUUGCUCCUCUGACGUUAGCGGCGGACGGGUGAGUAACACGUGGAUAACCUACCUAUAAGACUGGGAUAACUUCGGGAAACCGGAGCUAAUACCGGAUAAUAUAUUGAACCGCAUGGUUCAAUAGUGAAAGACGGUUUUGCUGUCACUUAUAGAUGGAUCCGCGCCGGAUUAGCUAGUUGGUAAGGUAACGGCUUACCAAGGCGACGAUGCGUAGCCGACCUGAGAGGGUGAUCGGCCACACUGGAACUGAGACACGGUCCAGACUCCUACGGGAGGCAGCAGUAGGGAAUCUUGCGCAAUGGGCGAAAGCCUGACGGAGCAACACCGCGUGAGUGAUGAAGGUCUUCGGAUCGUAAAGCUCUGUUAUUAGGGAAGAACAAAUGUGUAAGUAACUAUGCACGUCUUGACGGUACCUAAUCAGAAAGCCACGGCUAACUACGUG